rnacentral:rRNA from 1 species
UCCUAGCCGUAAACGAUGGGCACUUGGUGUUGGGGGUAUUGAGUCCCCCAGUGUCGUAGUUAACAUGGUAAGUGCCCCGCCUGGGGAGUACGGUCGCAAGACUGAAACUCAAAGGAAUUGACGGGGGCCCGCACAAGCGGUGGAGCAUGUGGUUCAAUUCGACGCAACGCGAAGAACCUUACCGGGGCUCGAACGGUAGUCGCUACCCCUGGAAACGGGGGAUUCUCGUAAGGGACGGCUACCGAGGUGCUGC